GGAGGAUUACCCAAGUCUGGCUGAAGGGAACGGUCUUGAAAACCGUCAGACGUGUAAAAGCGUGCUAGGGUUCGAAUCCCUAAUCCUCCU
rfam:Lactococcus piscium MKFS47 genome assembly, chromosome: I